rnacentral:lncRNA from 1 species
CCCGCAGCCAUGGCUACAGCAGGACAGGGUGUAAUCUGGAUGUCAUGUCAGACCUGAAGCCUACAGCUUCAGAUUGUGCGCUUGACUGUCAAGCCUUGUGAAGGAGAGGAUGGAGGCUUUUAUUUCCCCUUACCACCCGGAUGCGUCACAUCAUAUGCCUACGGUGAAAUACGAGGGAACUAGCCUGCUGCAAGCAAGAGCCCUCCAUGUACAGCUCGAAUCGAUCAAGAUUGACGAAGAUGACCUUGUAUCUGGCCUUUCCAUGCAGAUUGCCCUUUACUGGAUAUUCGACAUUGUUUUUGCACCAAAGGCACAAAGAACAUUUGACCAUACGCCACGUGGUCGGUGUUAACAGUGGUGUGUGGCCAACUCCACUUG